GCGGCUUAACACAUGCAAGUCGAACGAUGAAGGCUGGAGCUUGCUCCGGCUGGAUUAGUGGCGAACGGGUGAGUAACACGUGAGCAAUCCGCCCUUCACUCUGGGAUAACUUCGAGAAAUCGAUGCUAAUACCGGAUACGACGCGCUGGGGCAUCCCAUGCGCGUGGAAAGAAUUUUGGUGAAGGAUGAGCUCGCGGCCUAUCAGCUAGUUGGUGAGGUAAUGGCUCACCAAGGCGACGACGGGUAGCCGGCCUGAGAGGGUGACCGGCCACACUGGGACUGAGACACGGCCCAGACUCCUACGGGAGGCAGCAGUGGGGAAUAUUGCACAAUGGGCGAAAGCCUGAUGCAGCAACGCCGCGUGGGGGAUGAAGGCCUUCGGGUUGUAAACCUCUUUUAGUAGGGAGAAGCAAAGUGACGGUACCUGCAUAAAAGCACCGGCUAACUACGUGCCA
rnacentral:rRNA from 1 species